GUUAAAUAGAUCUCUGAAUGUGCAGAAUGUACAAGUGAAAGGAUGGAAAGGUUCCAUUCACUUGCUGUCUGUAUUCAGUCACUAGAGGGCAGUGUUGUCUAUUAUCUUGUUUAUUUUAAGAACCUUGUGAGGUACUUGAGACAAUUCAGCUUUAUAAUGUUAACUAGAUAAUUGUUGUACAUUUUGAAAACCUAUCAAGCGGUGUAUGCAGACUGUCAGCACAAUGUAGAUACACAUCAAUAUAAACUCCAGAUCAUACUUAAUGUGGCAGAUUGUUUCUAAAUGGAUCUAACAGGGUGUCUAACAUCUAACUGCGCAGGGUGUAUUUAGAGAGGAGCUGUUACUGGUCAGAUAGUGAUCCUGAAAAUAAAGAACGUCUAGCACAGAGGUAGGCAUCUUUUGACACUCCAGAUGUUGUGGACUACAUCUCCCAUAAUGCUAUUAAAACCAUAAUGCUGGCAAAGCAUCAAGGGAGAUGUAGCCCACAAUGUCUGGAGUACAGAAUGUUGCUUACCCCUGGAACUGCUG